rnacentral:misc_RNA from 1 species
UGUCGCAACCUGACCAUGUCA